rnacentral:rRNA from 1 species
GAGGAGCUUGCUCCUUUGACGUUAGCGGCGGACGGGUGAGUAACACGUAGGUAACCUACCUAUAAGACUGGGAUAACUUCGGGAAACCGGAGCUAAUACCGGAUAAUAUUUCGAACCGCAUGGUUCGAUAGUGAAAGAUGGCUUUGCUAUCACUUAUAGAUGGACCUGCGCCGUAUUAGCUAGUUGGUAAGGUAACGGCUUACCAAGGCAACGAUACGUAGCCGACCUGAGAGGGUGAUCGGCCACACUGGAACUGAGACACGGUCCAGACUCCUACGGGAGGCAGCAGUAGGGAAUCUUCCGCAAUGGGCGAAAGCCUGAUGGAGCAACGCCGCGUGAGUGAUGAAGGUCUUCGGAUCGUAAAACUCUGUUAUUAGGGAAGAA